UAGGGAAUCUUCCGCAAUGGACGCAAGUCUGACGGAGCAACGCCGCGUGAGUGAAGAAGGAUUUCGGUUCGUAAAACUCUGUUGUUAGAGAAGAACAGCGCAUAGAGUAAUGGUAUUCGGUGUACGGGAUCUAAACAGAAAGCCAAGGCUAACUACGUUCCAGCAGCCGCGGUAAUACGUAGGUGGCAAGCGGUGUCCGGGUUUAUUGGGCGUAAAGCGAGCGCAGGCGGUCAAUUAAGUCUGAUGUGAAAGCCCCCGGCUCAACCGGGGAGGGUCAUUGGAAACUGGUUGACUUGAGUGCAGAAGAGGAGAGUGGAAUUCCAUGUGUAGCGGUGAAAUGCGUAGAUAUAUGGAGGAACACCAGUGGCGAAGGCGACUCUCUGGUCUGUAACUGACGCUGAGGCUCGAAAGCGUGGGUAGCAAACAGG
rnacentral:rRNA from 1 species